AACGCACAUUGCGCCCAUUAGUAUUCUAGUGGGCAUGCCUGUUCGAGCGUCAUUUCAACCCCUAAGCACAGCUUAUUGUUGGGAAUCUACGCCCUAGUAGUUCCUCAAAGACAUUGGCGGAGCGGCAGCAGUCCUCUGAGCGUAGUAAUUCUUUAUCUCGCUUCUGUUAGGCGCUGCCCCCCCGGCCGUAAAACCCCUUAACUCCAAUGGUUGACCUCGGAUCAGGUAGGAAUACCCGCUGAACUUAA
rnacentral:misc_RNA from 1 species